rnacentral:rRNA from 1 species
UACGGAGGAUCCAAGCGUUAUCCGGAUUUAUUGGGUUUAAAGGGUGCGUAGGCGGAUUAAUAAGUCAGUGGUGAAAGCCUGCAGCUUAACUGUAGAAUUGCCAUUGAUACUGUUAGUCUUGAGUCCAGUUGAGGUGGGCGGAAUGUGUCAUGUAGCGGUGAAAUGCUUAGAUAUGACAUAGAACACCAAUUGCGAAGGCAGCUUACUACGGGGUCAUUGACACUGAGGCACGAAAGCGUGGGGAGCAAACAGG